AGAGUUGAUCAUGGCUCAGGAUGAACGCUGGCGGCGUGCCUAACACAUGCAAGUCGAACGAAGCAUACGGACCGGAGAUUCGUCGAAGGACCGUAUGACUUAGUGGCGGACGGGUGAGUAAUGUAUGAGCAACCUGCCUUUCAGAGGGGGACAACAGUUGGAAACGACUGCUAAUACCGCGUAACGUAUCGUGGGGGCAUCCUUGUGAUACCAAAGGAGCAAUCCGCUGAAAGAUGGGCUCAUAUCUGAUUAGCUUGUUGGCGGGGUAACGGCCCACCAAGGCGACGAUCAGUAGCCGGACUGAGAGGUUGAACGGCCACAUUGGGACUGAGAUACGGCCCAGACUCCUACGGGAGGCAGCAGUGGGGAAUAUUGGGCAAUGGGCGAAAGCCUGAACCCCAGCAACGCCGCGUGGAGGAAGAAGGUCUUCGGAUUGUAAACUUCUUUUAUGAGGGACGAAGGACGUGACGGUACCUCAUGAAUAAGCCACGGCUAACUACGUGCCAGCAGCAGC
rnacentral:rRNA from 1 species